rnacentral:rRNA from 1 species
UGGGGAAUAUUGCACAAUGGGCGCAAGCCUGAUGCAGCCAUGCCGCGUGUAUGAAGAAGGCCUUCGGGUUGUAAAGUACUUUCAGCGGGGAGGAAGGCGAUAAGGUUAAUAACCUUGUCGAUUGACGUUACCCGCAGAAGAAGCACCGGCUAACUCCGUGCAAGCAGCCGCGGGAAUACGGAGGGUGCAAGCGAUAAUCGGAAUUACUGGGCGUAAAGCGCACGCAGGCGGUCUGUCAAGUCGGAUGUGAAAUCCCCGGGCUCAACCUGGGAACUGCAUUCGAAACUGGCAGGCUAGAGUCUUGUAGAGGGGGGUAGAAUUCCAGGUGUAGCGGUGAAAUGCGUAGAGAUCUGGAGGAAUACCGGUGGCGAAGGCGGCCCCCUGGACAAAGACUGACGCUCAGGUGCGAAAGCGUGGGGAGCAAACA